rnacentral:rRNA from 1 species
AUUGAAUGCUGGCGGCAUGCUUUACACAUGCUAGUCGAACGGCAGCGCGGGCUUCGGCCUGGCGGCGAGUGGCGAACGGGUGAGUAAUACAUCGGAACGUGCCCAGUAGUGGGGGAUAGCUCGGCGAAAGCCGGAUUAAUACCGCAUACGACCUGAGGGUGAAAGCGGGGGAUCUUCGGACCUCGCGCUAUUGGAGCGGCCGAUGGCAGAUUAGCUAGUUGGUGGGGUAAAGGCCUACCAAGGCGACGAUCUGUAGCUGGUCUGAGAGGACGACCAGCCACACUGGGACUGAGACACGGCCCAGACUCCUACGGGAGGCAGCAGUGGGGAAUUUUGGACAAUUGGCGAAAGCCUGAUCCAGCAAUGCCGCGUGUGUGAUGAAGGCCUUCGGGUUGUAAAGCACUUUUGGCGGGAACGAAAAGGACUGUGCAAAUACCACGGUUCGAUGACGGUACCCGCAGAAUAAGCACCGGCUAACUACGUG